rnacentral:rRNA from 1 species
UAGCCGGUUUAAUAAAUGCCCGGGUAAAUUGUAUAGCUUAACUAUACGAAUUCCGGGUAGACUGAUAAACUUGAGACCGGGGGAAGUUAGAGGUACUCCUGGGUAGAGGUGAAAUUCUGUAAUCCUAGGGGGACCACCGGUGGCGAAGGCGUCUGACUAAAACGGGUCUGACGGUGAGGGACGAAGCCCUGGGGCGCAAACGGGAUUAGAUACCCCGGUAGUCCAGGGUGUAAACGCUGCUUGCUUGAUGUUAGUCGGGCUUCGAGCCCGAUUAGUGUCGGAGAGAAGUUGUUAAGCAAGCUGCCUGGGAAGUACGGCCGCAAGACUGAAACUUAAAGGAAUUGGCGGGGGAGCACAGCAACGGGUGGAGCGUGCGGUUUCAAUUGGAUUCAACGCCGGAAAGCUCGCCGGAGGCGACGGUUACAUGAAGGCCAGGCUGAUGACCUUGCCAGAUUUUCCGAGAGGUGGUGCAUGGCCGCCGUCAGUUCGUACCGUAAGGCGUUCUGUUAAGUCAGACAACGAACGAGACCCUCAUCUUUAAUUGCUAUUGGCAAGUCCGCUUGUCAAGCACAUUAAAGAAACCGCUGGCGAUAAGUCAGAGGAAGGCGAGGGCAACGGUAGGUCAGUAUGCCCUGAAUCCUCCGGGUACACGCGCGUACAAAGGUAGGACAAUGGGCUCGACACCGAAAGGUGAAGGUAAUCCUGAAACCUAGUUAAAGUUCGGAUCGAGGGUUGAAACUCACCCUCGUGAAGAUGGAAUCCGUAGUAAUCGCG